UACGUAGGGGGCAAGCGUUGUCCGGAUUUAUUGGGCGUAAAGAGCGUGUAGGCGGCCAUACAGGUCAGCUGUGAAAACUCGAGGCUCAACCUCGAGACGUCGGUUGAAACCGUAUGGCUAGAGUCCGGAAGAGGAGAGUGGAAUUCCCGGUGUAGCGGUGAAAUGCGCAGAUAUCAGGAGGAACACCGGUGGCGAAGGCGGGUCUCUGGGCCGAUACUGACGCUGAGGAGCGAAAGCGUGGGGAGCGAACAGG
rnacentral:rRNA from 1 species